CAUGAUUAGCCAGGAAAUAUAUAUUUUAAUUGGGGUAGCCCCCAAAAUAUUGGGCCAUAUAAAAAAAACGACAACUCUGUUCUGCAGAGUAGCUGUUGACAUUAUAGUUGCACAGGCACUUUGUUGCCUCUAGAGAACUUCGGGCCAAUUGGAUAUCCCCGUGGCGGCGACUUUGCAUGCGGAUGUCAUCCAUAUCAACUUUCAAUCCCAGUUUCUGCGCCUACCAUGGUGACCACGGGUAACGGGGAAUCAUAGUUCCAUUCCGUAUAGGGACCCUGAGAAACAGCUACCACAUGCACGGAAGGCAGCAGGCGCGCAAAUGACCCACUCCCGACGCGGGAAGGUAGUGA